rnacentral:rRNA from 1 species
UACGUAGGGUGCAAGCGUUGUCCGGAAUUAUUGGGCGUAAAGAGCUCGUAGGCGGUUUGUCGCGUCUGCUGUGAAAACCCGAGGCUCAACCUCGGGCCUGCAGUGGGUACGGGCAGACUAGAGUGCGGUAGGGGAGAUUGGAAUUCCUGGUGUAGCGGUGGAAUGCGCAGAUAUCAGGAGGAACACCAAUGGCGAAGGCGGCCCCCUGGGCCGGCCCUGACACUGAGACGCGAAGGCGUGGGGAGCGAACGGG